rnacentral:rRNA from 1 species
CCUACGGGAGGCAGCAGUGAGGAAUAUUGGUCAAUGGACGAGAGUCUGAACCAGCCAAGUAGCGUGAAGGAUGACUGCCCUAUGGGUUGUAAACUUCUUUUAUAUGGGAAUAAAAUGGUCCACGUGUGGGAUUUUGUAUGUACCAUAUGAAUAAGGAUCGGCUAACUCCGUGCCAGCAGCCGCGGUAAUACGGAGGAUCCGAGCGUUAUCCGGAUUGAUUGGGUUUAAAGGGAGCGUAGGUGGAUUGUUAAGUCAUUUGUGAAAGUUUGAGGCUCAACCGUAAAAUUGCAGUUGAAACUGGCAGUCUUGAGAACAGUAGAGGUGGGCGGAAUUCGUGGUGUAGCGGUGAAAUGCUUAGAUAUCACGAAGAACUCCGAUUGCGAAGGCAGCUCACUGGACUGCAACUGACACUGAGGCUCGAAAGUGUGGGUAUCAAACAGGAUUAGAUACCCUAGUAGUC